GACAGAGGGUGCAAACGUUGUUCGGAUUUACUGGGCGUAAAGCGCGUGUAGGCGGCUUUGCAAGUCGGAUGUGAAAGCCCACGGCUCAACCGUGGAAGUGCAUCCGAAACUGCAUGGCUUGAGUCUCGGAGAGGAAGGUGGAAUGCUUGGUGUAGAGGUGAAAUUCGUAGAUAUCAAGCAGAACACCUGCGGCGAAGGCGGCCUUCUGGACGAUGACUGACGCUGAGGUGCGAAAGCGUGGGGAGCAAACAGG
rnacentral:rRNA from 1 species